rnacentral:rRNA from 1 species
AUUGAAUGCUGGCGGCAUGCCUUACACAUGCAAGUCGAACGGUAACAGGUCUUCGGAUGCUGACGAGUGGCGAACGGGUGCGUAAUACAUCGGAACGUGCCCGAUCGUGGGGGAUAACGAAGCGAAAGCUUUGCUAAUACCGCAUACGAUCUACGGAUGAAAGCAGGGGACCGCAAGGCCUUGCGCGAACGGAGCGGCCGAUGGCAGAUUAGGUAGUUGGUGGGAUAAAAGCUUACCAAGCCGACGAUCUGUAGCUGGUCUGAGAGGACGACCAGCCACACUGGGACUGAGACACGGCCCAGACUCCUACGGGAGGCAGCAGUGGGGAAUUUUGGACAAUGGGCGAAAGCCUGAUCCAGUCAUGCCGCGUGCAGGAUGAAGGCCUUCGGGUUGUAAACUGCUUUUGUACGGAACGAAAAGACUCUGGUUAAUACCUGGGGUCCAUGACGGUACCGUAAGAAUAAGCACCGGCUAACUACGUG